rnacentral:rRNA from 1 species
AUGACCAUUCCACCUGGAAAGCAAGAUCCAUAUAGAAAUAGAAAACAAGGACUGUCACAAAAUUGCAUGGUCACAUGCGACUUUGAUCUAAAGUUCGUGCAUGUACAUCCUGGUUGGGAGAGUUCUGCUUCAGAUGCAAGAGUUCUACAAGACUCACUUAAGCAUGGUUUUAGUGUAUACCCUGGUAAAUUCUAUCUUGUAGAUGCGGGCUAUGCAAACACACCUGAAUUCAUUGCUCCAUAUAGGGGAACAAGCAAUAUGGAAGAUGUACCAGAUGGAGAUACCAAAUACAAUGUUGAUGUGCCCUUAUUUGAUAGCAUGCGGCAAGCUGGGAAUGACAUGCGAGAUGCCAUGGCAAAUGCAAUGUGGGCUGACUACAAUGCAAGGCGAUGA